UCCUCCUGAUGCUGGGGUCCUCCGGCAUUCCUCCCUGAGCCCCCCAAGGGCCCUGAAGCUCAGCGGCCCAGCCCUGGCCUCGGGGUCCCCACCCCACACCUCCCUUCCAGGCCUAACCUUUGCCCCCGACACCAGGCAGGGCGUGUCCUUGGCCUUCGCCGCCCAGCCCGCGUGGCAUCUCUGGACAGGUGGUCGUGCGCGCCUUGGUGUGGGCAGGCUCCGUAGCCGGCAAAGCCUCCCUGAACCGUGACCUGGUGAGAAGGCCGCAGAGGAGGUGCCUGUGCCCAGAGGCCACCUCCAAAGACCCCACCUGAGGCUGGAACCCAGCGCCUGCUGACCCCGCCAGCCCCAACAGGGCUGGAGUCCAGGAGCGGCCGUGCUCUUUCCGCAGUGAGGCAGCUGCCUUCUCUUCCCACCACCUGUCAGGAUGCCUUCCCGUGUGUGCUUGUGCACAGGUCUAAGGAGAGGAGAGUCCAGUGAGUGACCCAGACGCCCCAGCCAGGAAGAGCAUGAGGACAUGGAGCGGAGCGUUCAGGGCUAUCAGGAGGGAGCCCCGUGGCCACGGUGCAAGAUCUAGGCAGGCGGGACAGACAUGGUCAGGAUGCUGGGGACACAGCAUGGGGAAUCCAGCACACAGGACACCAUCCAGCAGGAAAGCAAAGCUGCAGCCUGAGAUCUCCUUCCACCAACUCCUGGCAUGGCCAGAAAGUUAGCCAGAAACACCAGAAAGUGCCAGGCAGCUAGGAAGCAUGGGGAGAGCCCCCUGAAGCUGCGUGUGUAGUGCCUGCUUCCGCUGCCAUCCCAGAAAUGGACGAGCUUCACCCUGAGAACCCAGCCACACCACUGGGACACAUCCUGACAGUGACAUGCACACUCUUCCCUGGCCCCAGCCUGGAGAGGAGCCUCCUGAAGACACCAGCCUUUGCUCCUUCUCCCAGUGGGAGUGGAGAGAACUGACUGCUGGAGUGGAGACAGUCAAGGCUGUCCUUCUGAGGGAGCACAGCACAGGGUCUGGUGUCCCAGGGAGGCAAUCUGAAAUUCAAGCCAGGCCUCCCCAGCGGAGAGGACACACCCCUCACCAUGCAGAGUGACGUUUAGUAAACUCUCAAAAGAGAGCACAGAGCCCCACUCCUCCAGCCGACCCAUACUCUGCCUCCCCACUCCAGACCAGUGAACAAGGUGGAUUGCCCUUAAGCCAGCUCAGAGGCAAAGUCCAAAGACCUCAGGUGAGUCAAACAAUAAAAACAAAGAAUUAAGAAGAAUCCAGCUGGGUGCGGUGGCUCACGCCUGUAAUCCCAGCACUUUGGGAGGCUGAGGCGGGAGGAUCACGAGCAGGAGGUCGAGACCAUCC
rnacentral:lncRNA from 10 species